AGGCUGCCAUUGAUUUUUUAUUAAAAGGCUGCGGUAUUUUAACUGUACUAAGGUAGCAUAAUCAUUUGUCUUUUAAUUGGAGGCUAGAAUGAAUGGUUUGAUGAAAAAUAUACUUUUUUUUAAUAAUUUUAUUGAAUUUAAUUUUUAAGUUAAAAAGCUUAAAUUUUUUUAUAGGACGAGAAGACCCUAUAGAAGUUAACUUAAAUUAUAAUUUUUAUUUUUUGUUUUUAAUUUUUUAUUUUAUUUUUUUAAGUUUUGUUGGGGUGACAUUAAAAUUUUUAAAACUUUUAAUUUUUAUUUUCAUUUAUUUAUGUUUUUUUGAUCCUUAUUUUAGAUUAAAAGAUUAACUUACUUUAGGGAUAACAGCGAAAUUUUUUUAGUUA
rnacentral:rRNA from 1 species